AUUGAACGCUGGCGGCAUGCUUUACACAUGCAAGUCGAACGGUAACAGGCCGCAAGGUGCUGACGAGUGGCGAACGGGUGAGUAAUGCAUCGGAACGUGCCCAGUCGUGGGGGAUAACUACUCGAAAGAGUAGCUAAUACCGCAUACGAUCUAUGGAUGAAAGCGGGGGACCGUAAGGCCUCGCGCGAUUGGAGCGGCCGAUGUCAGAUUAGGUAGUUGGUGGGGUAAAGGCUCACCAAGCCAACGAUCUGUAGCUGGUCUGAGAGGACAACCAGCCACACUGGGACUGAGACACGGCCCAGACUCCUACGGGAGGCAGCAGUGGGGAAUUUUGGACAAUGGGCGCAAGCCUGAUCCAGCAAUGCCGCGUGCAGGAAGAAGGCCUUCGGGUUGUAAACUGCUUUUGUACGGAACGAAACGGCUCUGGUUAAUACCCGGGGCUAAUGACGGUACCGUAAGAAUAAGCACUGGCUAACUACGUG
rnacentral:rRNA from 1 species